rnacentral:rRNA from 1 species
CCUACGGGAGGCAGCAGUGGGGGAUAUUGCACAAUGGGCGGAAGCCUGAUGCAGCCAAGCCGCGUGAGUGAUGAAGUCUUUCGGUAUGGAAAGCUCUUUCAGCAGGGAGGAAAAUGACAGUACUUGUCCAAGUAUCCCCGUCUAAAUACGUGCCAGGAGCCGCGGUAAUACGGCGGGGGCAAGGGUGAUCCGGAUUUACUGGGGGUAAAGGGGACGUAGACGGCUAUGGAAGACUGUAGGGAAGGCCCGGGGGCGAACCCAGGGACUGCAGUGGAAACUGGGUGACUGGAGUACAGGAGGGGCAGGCGGAAUUCCUGGUGUAGCGGUGAAAUGCGUAGAUAUCAGGAGGAACACCGGCGGCGAAGGCGGCCUGCUGGACUGAAACUGACGUUGAGGCUCGAAAGCGUGGGGAGCAAACAGGAUUAGAUACCCGAGUAGUC